rnacentral:rRNA from 1 species
GACGAACGCUGGCGGCGUGCUUAACACAUGCAAGUCGAACGGAAAGGCCCUGCUUUUGUGGGGUGCUCGAGUGGCGAACGGGUGAGUAACACGUGAGUAACCUGCCCUUGACUUUGGGAUAACUUCAGGAAACUGGGGCUAAUACCGGAUAGGAGCUCCUGCUGCAUGGUGGGGGUUGGAAAGUUUCGGCGGUUGGGGAUGGACUCGCGGCUUAUCAGCUUGUUGGUGGGGUAGUGGCUUACCAAGGCUUUGACGGGUAGCCGGCCUGAGAGGGUGACCGGCCACAUUGGGACUGCGAUACGGCCCAGUCGCCUACGGGAGGCAGCAGUGGGGAAUAUGGCACAAUGGGCGGAAGCCUGAGGCAGCAACGCCGCGUGCGGGAUGACGGCUUUCGGGUUGUAAACCGCUUUCGCCUGUGACGAAGCGUGAGUGACGGUAAUGGGUAAAGAAGCACCGGCUAACUACGUG